GCCUCGCAAACCUUUGCUCAUUUUCAGGGAAGGAGGCCUUACCUUGACGUACUAAACAAAUACUUUGAAAUUCAUGGAACAAUCGCAAAAAAGAAAAACAUUUCCAAGGACGCAAUUAAAAAAUUUGUACCCGACUACAUCAUCAAUCAUGGGAUAAUGAACGGAAGUGACUUGAAAAAUCUUCUUCGGAAAAGCAAGGUGUUUAUUGGUCUUGCAUUCCCGUAUGAGGGUCCAGCGCCGCUUGAAGCCAUCGCGCAAGGCUCAGUGUUCAUCAAUCCCAAGG